rnacentral:lncRNA from 1 species
AUGUACAUUCACACUCAUUCUCUGACCCAGUCACACAUUCACACCCUCACCUUCACACUCAUACAUCCACACACAUUCACACUCACACAUUCACACACACGUUCACACCUAUUCUCAUGCACACAUUCACCUCACUAUUCACACACAUUCACUCACACCAACACCUUCACACUCACACAUUCACACUCAUUCACACACACACACCUUCACACUCACACAUCCACACAUAUUCACACUCACAUUCACACGCACGUUCACACCUAUUCUCAUGAACACACAUUCACCUCACUAUUCACACACGUUCACACUCACACCCACACCUUCACACUCACAAUUCACACAUAUUCACACAUUCACACAUCCACACCUUCACACUCACAUCCACAUUCACAUUCAUUCACACAUUCACACUCACACCCACACCUUUGCACUCACAUUCACACAUUCACACUCACACCUUCACACAUUCACAUGCACAUUCACACCCACUCNNNNNNNNNNCACACACACCUUCACACACACAUUCACACUCACAUUCACACACAUUCACACUCGCACCCACACUUUCACACUCACAUUCACAUUUUCACUCACAUCCACACACAUUCACGCAUCCACACACACAUCCACAUUCACACAUUCACACUCACACCCACACCUUCACUCUCACAUGCAGUCACACACCCACACCUUCACACUCACAUUUGCACACAUUCACACUCACACAUUCACACACAUUCACAUGCACAUUCACACCUAUUCUCAUGCAGUCUCACACACAUUCACAUGCACCAUGCACAUUCACUCUCACAUUCUCUGACCCAUUCACACACCUUCACACUCACACAUUCACACGUUUACUCACAUUCACACACACACAUUCACAUUUGCCCAUUCACACACAUUCACACACAUUUACACACAUAUAUUCACACAUUUAUACUCAUAUACACACACACAUUCACAUUCAUUCACUCACACAUUUACACUCACACAUUCACACUCAUUCACAGUGACACAUUUACAUUUAUAGUCACACAUUCACACAUUCACACUCAUCCACACACAUUUAUAUUCACAUUCACACACACACACACACAUUCACACAUCUCGCAGUUCCCAUACAGGCAAGCUCCCUAG